rnacentral:tRNA from 1 species
AGAAACUUAGGAUAACCCAAACCCUCCAAACCGGAGGCCUUCAAAGCCUCAAAUAAGAGUUAAACCCUCUUAGUUUCUG